rnacentral:rRNA from 1 species
AUGGCAUCUUUGUUCACAGGCCUUGCUAGGUUCCUUUGCCUCUUCAGCUUCUUUUGCAGCCUGCCACUAGCCAUCUGCGAUGAAUCCCAAAAUGAUAGACAGGCCCUGCUCUGCUUCAAGUCCCAGCUCUCCGGACCACCCGGAGUUUUGGCUUCAUGGAGUGACGCUUCCCGGGAAUUCUGCGACUGGCGUGGGGUCAUGUGCAGCGCAAUGCCGCCAUUGCGUGUCAUUGCACUGGACCUUGAAUCACAAGGCAUAUCAGGCUCCAUGUCGCCUUGCAUUGCCAACCUCACUUCGCUGGCGAGGCUCCACCUAUCAAACAACAGCUUCCACGGCGGCAUACCGUCCGAGCUCGGCCUCCUGACCCAACUCGCCGACCUCAACCUCAGCAUGAACGCUUUGCAAGGUAACAUCCCGUCUGAACUCUCUGCAUGUUCCCAGCUCCAGGUCCUGGGUUUGGGGAACAAUUCCCUCCAUGGAGAGAUUCCACCUAGCCUUAGUCAAUGCAAAUAUCUUCAAGAGAUUAACCUUAGCAACAACAAGCUCCAAGGGGGCAUCCCUUCUGCUUUUGGAAAUCUUCCUGAGCUGCGCAUACUAGUUCUCGCUAGUAACGGGCUCACCGGCAACAUGCCGCCAUCUCUGGGCAGCAGCCAUGUCCUCACGUACGUCGAUCUUGGGAGGAAUGCUCUCACAGGGGUCAUCCCAAAGUCCUUGGCAAAUAGUUCAGCUCUUCAGGUACUUAGACUCAUGGGAAAUAAUUUUACUGGAGAACUCCCCAAGGCUCUCUUCACCACCUCGUCACUUAUUGCCAUUUGCCUCCAACAGAACAGUUUUGUUGGUUCAGUACCUCCUGUUACUGCCACAUCCCCCCCUGUUAAAUAUCUUGAUUUAAGGAACAACCAUCUUUCAGGAAGGAUACCUUUCUCAUUAGGGAACCUUUCCUCCCUAGUUCAUCUUCGUCUCACAGAUAAUCAGUUAGUUGGGAGCAUCCCAGAGAGCUUAGGCUACAUUCCAACACUGCAGAAACUGAGCUUGAGCGUAAACAACUUAUCUGGGCCAAUUCCACUGUCUCUCCUCAACAUGUCAUCCCUGAGAAUUCUUACCUUAUCGGAAAACUCAUUAAUCGGAAGAUUGCCAUUUGACAUAGGCUACACGCUCCCGAAUAUUCAGGCCUUGUUGCUCUCAAAGAACAAUUUUGAUGGCCCAAUCCCAGCCUCCCUCAUCAAAGCUUACCACCUAUACAUGCUUUACCUGAAUCAUAAUAGCUUUACUGGAUCCAUACCAUUCUUCGGUUCAUUGCCAAAUUUAGAGCAACUUGAUUUGGCACACAACAACCUAGAGGCAGGUGAUUGGGGAUUUGUCUCUUCACUCUCACAUUGUACUAGGUUAACUAAACUGAUGCUGGAUAGCAACAAUCUCCAAGGGAAACUGCCAAGUUCAAUCGGUAAUCUUUCCAAUAGUCUUCAGUGGUUGCUGCUAAGUAGCAACAACAUUUCUGGACCUAUACCAUCGGAGAUUGGUAACCUUAAGAGCCUCAACAUCUUGUACAUGAGUAACAACAGUCUCACUGGCAAUAUACCAGCAACACUUGGGAAUUUACAAAGUUUGGUUGAUCUAUCCCUUUCACAGAACAUGCUUUCAGGCCUAAUUCCAGAUAUUACUGGUAAUCUCGUCCAGUUGAGUAUGCUGGAAUUGGAUCACAACAACUUUAGUGGAAGGAUACCCGCAAGUCUAGCAAGAUGUACUCGACUCAAAAUACUCAAUCUUGCUCACAACUCACUGGAUGGGCCAAUACCAAGUAAGAUCUUCAAAAUCUCUACACUCUCUGAAGAGUUAGACUUGUCAUACAAUUAUUUGUCGGGAAGAAUGCCAGAGGAAGUUGGUAGCCUCAUUCAUCUGAAGAAAAUGAACAUGUCAAAUAACAGGCUGUCUGGCAACGUCCCGUCAACUCUCAGCCAGUGUGUGGAUCUGGAGUAUCUUGACAUGCAAAGCAAUUUCUUUGUAGGAAGCAUUCCACAGUCUAUUGCCAGAUUAUCCAGCUUAAAAAAUAUGGAUAUUUCUCAGAAUAAUUUAUCCGGAGAAAUACCAGAGCCCCUCAAAUCCUUGAAAUCCCUCCAGUACCUCAAUUUAUCCUUCAACCAUUUUCAUGGUGAAGUUCCAAGAGGUGGUGUUUUCGACAUUGCUGGUGCAGUGUCAGUUGAAGGAAAUUAUCAUCUCUGUACAAGCAUUCCAACAGGAGGCAUGUCCCUUUGUUCUGCACUGGUUGACAAGAAAAGAAAACACAAGUCAUUGGUUCUGGUCCUAGCGAUUGUGUUGCCGAUUGUUGUUGUCACUAUAAUUAUUUUGUCAUGUAUUGUGGUAAUUUAUCGGAAGAAGAGAAUGCAAUCCAAUCCCCAUUUACAACAUGUCAACGAGCACAUAAAGAACGUAUCAUAUGAAGACGUUGUAAGGGCAACUGAUCGAUUCUCUUCUGCAAACUUAAUUGGUUCUGGAUCAUUUGGAAGGGUUUAUAAGGGCAGUCUCCAGUUUCAAGAUCAAGUUGCCAUCAAGAUUUUUGACCUUGACAUUUAUGGAGCACAUAGGAGCUUCAUAGCAGAGUGUGAAGCCCUUCGUAAUGUGCGCCAUCGAAAUCUUGUAAGAAUCAUUACUUCAUGCUCUUCAGUGGAUCAUACUGGGGCAGAUUUCAAGGCCCUAGUGUUCCCAUACAUGCCAAAUGGUAACCUAGAAAUGUGGCUACAUCCGGCGGAUCAUGAACAUGGUGAAAGAAAUACUCUGUCAUUAAGCCAAAGGAUUAAUGUAGCCUUGGAUGUAGCAUUUGCUUUGGAUUAUCUUCACAACCAGUGUGCAUCUCCAAUUAUACACUGCGACUUGAAGCCAAGCAAUAUUCUUUUGGGUCUUGAUAUGGCUGCAUACGUCAUCGACUUUGGCCUAGCAAAAUUUUUGUUCAGCGCACCAAAUGCACAUCAAGACAGAUCAAUAAGUGCCUGCCACCUAAAAGGAUCCAUAGGAUACAUUCCACCAGAGUACGGCAUGAGUGAACAGAUAUCAACCAAGGGUGAUGUCUACAGUUUUGGGGUGCUUCUGUUACAACUGAUAACAGGGUGCAGUCCAACUGAUGAUAAAUUCAGUGAUGGUAUAAGCCUUCAUGAAUUUGUUGAUAGAGCAUUUACAAAGAAUAUUCAUGAGGUUGUUGAUCCCACAAUGCUACAAGAUGACAUGAAUGCAGCUGACCUGAUGAAGAAUUGUGUUAUCCCACUGAUUGCAAUCGGCCUCUCUUGCUCCGCGACACCACCAAAAGACCGGCCAGAUAUGGGACAAGUUUCUACUGAGAUCCUUAGAAUCAAGCACGCGGCCUCACAAAUGCGUGCCAGAUGA